GACGAACGCUGGCGGCGUGCUUAACACAUGCAAGUCGAACGGAAAGGCCCCUUUGGGGGUCCUCGAGUGGCGAACGGGUGCGUAACACGUGAGUAACCUGCCCUUGACUUCGGGAUAACUUCAGGAAACUGGGGCUAAUACCGGAUAGGAAUCCUUGCUGCAUGGUGGGGGUUGGAAAGCUUCGGCGGUUUUGGAUGGACCCGCGGCUUAUCAGCUUGUUGGUGGGGUAGUGGCUUACCAAGGCUUUGACGGGUAGCCGGCCUGAGAGGGCGACCGGCCACAGUGGGACUGGGAUACGGCCCAGACUCCGACGGGAGGCAGCAGUGGGGAAUAUUGCACAAUGGGCGGAAGCCUGAUGCAGCAACGCCGCGGGCGGGAUGACGGCCUUCGGGUUGGAAACCGCUUUCAGCAGGGGCGAAGCUUGUGGUGACGGUACCUGCAGAAGAAGCACCGGCUAACUACGUG
rnacentral:rRNA from 1 species